rnacentral:rRNA from 1 species
UACGUAGGGUGCGAGCGUUGUCCGGAAUUAUUGGGCGUAAAGAGCUUGUAGGCGGUUUGUCGCGUCUGCUGUGAAAAUCCGGGGCUCAACCCCGGACUUGCAGUGGGUACGGGCAGACUAGAGUGUGGUAGGGGAGACUGGAAUUCCUGGUGUAGCGGUGAAAUGCGCAGAUAUCAGGAGGAACACCGAUGGCGAAGGCAGGUCUCUGGGCCACUACUGACGCUGAGAAGCGAAAGCAUGGGGAGCGAAACAGG